UACGUAGGGGGCAAGCGUUGUCCGGAAUUAUUGGGCGUAAAGAGCGUGUAGGCGGCUAGAUAGGUCCGUUGUGAAAACUCGAGGCUCAACCUCGAGACGCCGGUGGAAACCAUCUAGCUAGAGUCCGGAAGAGGAGAGUGGAAUUCCUGGUGUAGCGGUGAAAUGCGCAGAUAUCAGGAAGAACACCCGUGGCGAAGGCGGCUCUCUGGGACGUGACUGACGCUGAGACGCGAAAGCGUGGGGAGCGAACAGG
rnacentral:rRNA from 1 species